AUAUUGUGACAUCGGGGAUUUCUUAUAGUGAUAUAAGAUUAGAAGUAGGCUAUAUGCUGGAACUUACUAUAUUAAAUUUAUAGUGACAAUCAGCAGGGAAGUUUAAGUCUUUAUAUUUAAACACCUUCAACGACUAAACGCCUACAUCCAGAAUAAUAUUAUUACUCUCGAAUACUGGAUGAAGAUAUAGUCUAAACCUUAAGGAUACUUAAGG
rnacentral:ncRNA from 1 species